AUUGAAAAAAAAAAUCGGAAUUGGUAACGGCACUUUUCAGUGCCAUCGCUCGAUAGCCUUUACCGUCUGACUUUCCACUGGACGAGAUAAUGACUGGUUAUCUGCAAAGGGUUUUGUCUUCCUAUCAUUACCCUUUCGUGCAAAACUAGUUACAUUGUUUUAAUUUUAAUAUUUUUAAAAGUAUGUACGCAAGGAAUUACUUAAAUCGUGUUUUAUGUUCUUUUCCAGCUUGGAACAAUCGUUUUGCCGAUUGACUCACUAGCUAGCUAGUAUGAAACAAGGUACACAUUGGAUUAGCUGGAACUGUAACAAACCAAAAGCGCAAACCGCGUCUUAAAUAACAUUUGGAUGCUUCCAAAAGACGAUUACCAUAAUGGUGGAAAAGCAUAAUCCGUCUGGUAAACUACAGAUUUGCCGGUUCGAUGAACGUAGCGUUGCUAAUCCACUUCGCUAUUUAUAAAAGGAAGAUAUCCAAAAUGUGGUUGUGCUUGAAAGGAGAUCAUUCAAAGUUAUUAAAUGAAAACUAUAUUAUUGUCGAUCGAGGCUUGUAAUGAUGACGAUUGCGAUUUUAAAGUUUCGUGUGGAACAUUUGUGUGUAAUUUGUGAACUAAAAGUAGUAUUCAAAAGAAGGACAACAGGGUAAUUCGGAACAUUGAAAAGCUCCCGUGAAUUGCAAAUAGGAUCGGAGAAAACAUCUAAACUGAAACAGCAGCAAAAAGGAUCUGUGAAUUACAAAUAUAUUUGGGAGAACAGCCAAAUGCAAUAGCAGAAUAGAUAUUUGGAUUCACAAAUUCUGACUCUUCAGUUAUCUUCAGAAAAGGCAAUGUUGAUAGGAAAAGCAAAAUUGCAUGAUGAAUUACAAAGGCUAAUUACGGAAAUUGGAUAAAAUCAUUUCUUUAGAUAUCGCAUUGGUUCGCUGGUAUGUUAGCGAAAAAUUGCUGAAUAAUAAGAUCACAAUAAUCAUUUGGAUUAUCGUAUUAUCUGGAAGAAAGCAAGACUUACUUACACCCUGGCAUAUGCUGUUAUUUAUCUUCAGAAUGAAAAGCAUUUCCGUGUAAAUAGGUUCCUCAUGUUGUGAUUACUGGCACGCCGCUUAUAUCAUUAUCCCUUCCAGUAUUCAUGCUAUGGAUUCGUUUCGGUACUAUAUAAUCGACAAUCCUUCGAGGACUAAAAACAUUCCGGUUUAACGAGAGUUGGGUUGUCCGAUUCAAGUCCAUAGAUGAAUUGUAUAUCAUCAUUGCAUUCUACAAAGCCUGAAAGUAAAGUAGCAUAAAAUAUCGGUACAGGACAGUCAGCAGCUUAGCGCCGUAUCUGCUGAGCAUUCAUUCCCGUUCUGCAUAACAAAGACAUAGAUGAAGUCGUCUGUAAGUAGCAUAGAUUGAAUAGAAAAGGAUGAUGUCCCUUCCAUGUUAUGUAUAAGAAGAGGAGAAUUAAUCAGGAUGGAAGGUUGUUGGACCCGCAGUCAUACCGUUUGAAGGCUUCGUCCUACAAUACUUUUCUCAUCGUUCAGGUAAAUUAUUUUGAAGUGGAACUUUAUUGAAAAACCUUAUUUAGCAAAAAAUGUUAAAUAAUAAAGCUUAGUGGAACUGCUAAA